rnacentral:rRNA from 1 species
UACGUAGGCAGCGAGCGUUGUUCGGAGUUACUGGGCGUAAAGGGUGUGUAGGCGGUUCUUUAAGUUUGGUGUGAAAUCUCCCGGCUCAACCGGGAGGGUGCGCCGAAUACUGAGGGACUCGAGUGCGGGAGAGGAAAGUGGAAUUCCUGGUGUAGCGGUGAAAUGCGUAGAUAUCAGGAGGAACACCGGUGGUGUAGACGGCUUUCUGGACCGUAACUGACGCUGAAACACGAAAGCGUGGGUAGCAAACAGG